UUCCAUCACAUGCACAUCCAGAAACUCAGGUAGAACCAUUGCUACAAUCCAAUGGAGAAAAACUCGUUAUUUCUAUGAAAUCCAGGAAAAAUAAUAUAUCGUCCACUAUACUUACCAUCAAGAACUGGCUGUUAGACACUAUCGGCUUGAGGUUAUUGGGAAAUAUGGAAUAUAUCAACAUGGCAGUAGUAUUAUCUCUUCCAUUUGUCACUGAUGGUAUUUUCCUUUCUCUCAUCAGCACGAUUCUCAACAAUAUGGAUUUCAAAUCAUCCGAGAUAGCUCUGAUGAUGAUGAUCUACUUUUUUUUCGAUGUUCUCUCGAAAUUGCUUUAUUCAGCUUUAAGUGGCUUUUAUGUCAUUAACAACAGAAACAUUUUCCUGGUGUCCGCUCUUUGCAUAGCAUUAUUUCGAAUAGCUUUCAUUCUUAUUGAGGGCCACACAUGGCGAAAGGUGGUGAUGGGUCUGAUCGGAAUUUCGAAAGGAUUCCAAGAAACUUCUUUACCAUUAGUGAUAUCGAGUGGAUACAAAAAAGACUUCUCAACAGCAUAUUCCUUAUAUAUGGUGAUAUCAGGAAUUUCGUUUCUUCUCAUUGGAUCAUUA